rnacentral:rRNA from 1 species
GACGAACGCUGGCGGCGUGCUUAACACAUGCAAGUCGAACGAAGGGCGAUGGAAGCUUGCUUCUAUCAAUCUUAGUGGCGAACGGGUGAGUAACGCGUAAUCAACCUGCCCUUCAGAGGGGGACAACAGUUGGAAACGACUGCUAAUACCGCAUACGAUCUAACCUCGGCAUCGAGGAUAGAUGAAAGGUGGCCUCUACAUGUAAGCUAUCACUGAAGGAGGGGAUUGCGUCUGAUUAGCUAGUUGGAGGGGUAACGGCCCACCAAGGCGAUGAUCAGUAGCCGGUCUGAGAGGAUGAACGGCCACAUUGGGACUGAGACACGGCCCAGACUCCUACGGGAGGCAGCAGUGGGGAAUCUUCCGCAAUGGACGAAAGUCUGACGGAGCAACGCCGCGUGAGUGAUGACGGCCUUCGGGUUGUAAAGCUCUGUUAAUCGGGACGAAAGGCCUUCUUGCGAAUAGUGAGAAGGAUUGACGGUACCGGAAUAGAAAGCCACGGCUAACUACGUG